rnacentral:misc_RNA from 1 species
AAGUCAUAACAAGGUUACUGUAGGUGAACCUGCAGUAGGAUCAUUAUUGAAAAUCAGGGCUUCCCAUUCUUUGGGGCCCGAACCUUCACAUAAUUUCCACACACUUGUGAAUCGUUGGGGCGCUUUUUGCUUUGGAUCGGAUUCUCUCAGAGUCCUUGAAGAUUGUGAAGACGCUCUGGCACCCAUUUCAUUACAAACACUGAGUUAAUGGAUGUAGUUGUAAACUUGUCUUUUGACAGAAACAAAAAUACAACUUUCGACAACGGAUCUCUUGGUUCUCC